UCGGCCAUGCUAUACACCGGUUCUCGUCUGAUCAACGAAGUUAAGCAACGUUAGGGUCGGUCAGUAUUUGGGAGGGUGAUACUUUUUUUAACUU